CAGAGUUGCAAAACUCCCUAAACCAUUGUGAACGUUACCUAAACCGUUGCUUCGGCGGGCGGCCACGGGCUCACCCCCGCGGCCCCCGGCCCCCUCGAGGGCGCCCGCCGGAGGCUCUAACUCUUGAAUUUAUGGCCUCUCUGAGUCUUCUGUACUGAAUAAGUCA
rnacentral:misc_RNA from 1 species